GUCCACGCCCUAACGAUGUCUACUAGUUGUUGGAGAGUAAAUCUCUUAGUAACGCAGCUAACGCGUGAAGUAGACCGCCUGGGAGUACGGUCGCAAGAUUAAACUCAAAGGAAUUGACGGGCCCGCACAAGCGGUGGAUUAUGUGGAUUAAUUCGAUGCAACGCGAAACCUUACCUGGCCUUGACAUGUACCGAAUUUGUGAGAGAUCACUUAGUGCUCGAAAGAGAACGGUAACACAGGUGCUGCAUGGCUGUCGU
rnacentral:rRNA from 1 species